rnacentral:lncRNA from 1 species
AACUGUGCCUCACGUUCCUUCCAACGGCGCCUUCCAUCCCAGCUGGGCGGGGCUUCGCCGUGUUACCUUCUCAACAUGGCGAGCUUGCUGGACGUCACGUCGCCUUCGCCUUUUCCGCUGCGGACUCUGCUCACCGACCUCCUCAGUAGAGCCGGCCCUGCUCACUACCGCGCCCACGUGUCCUGUUGUGCUUCAUUCCCACAGGCCGCAUAAGAAGUGGGUGCCGAGGCUCCCUUCCCACUGCCAUUCCACUGGCCCAGAGGAAGCUUCUGUUGUGUUCAGAUGGGCAGGCACUCUUCCUCGAGAAGUUAAGUAGCCGGAAUAUCUAAAUGCCUCUCCUUGGCGAUUACUCGAUGAGCGCCUGUCCUUCCUCCACUCUUCCAGCAGACCUGCCUUUUGGGGCUGAUGGAAAUAUGCAUAUUAGAUUAUCUGCAGAAACUGGCUCAGCACUACAAGGAGGCUGCCAACAUGAAGACACUGGAUGCGGAAUCAGGAGGAGAUGUAUACAGCUCAGUCUCCAAAGCCAGGACAAGCCAGCUCCAACACACUACUGGCUGAAUCUCACCAAUCGUUAUAGUUUUGUUUUUUGUUUUUUUAAAUGUAUUUAAGCAUUUUUAGGUGUUUUAAAUUUUAUGUGUGUAUUCUAGGAAUAUGUACUCAGAUUCUUUCAUUAGGCAUGUGUUAUUAACAACAUUCAUCUUCUUAAAGGCUGAACCAACUUUGCGCGUUUUAUCAACAGAUAUUCACUGAGCACCUAAUAUUGCCAGGCUGUGCUCAAGGCAGUGGGAUUCAUCAGUGAACAAUACAGACAAAAAUCACUGACCUAAAUGGAGCUUGAAGUUUAUAUCUAAAUCAUUCAAAGAUUCUGUGGUGGAAAAGAAGUUAGAAAUCUUUCAGCUGCAAAACAUAAGCCAAAAUACAACUCACCUUUGGAAUCAGAGAACUUACAGGUUCAUAAAAUUGCGAAGCCCAGAUGUGCACCUGAGGUGAGACUUCGUCCAGCUUCUGUCUGUGUCACUAAUCUUUCCUGCUUUCAGCGGCAUCCCUCGCAGGCCCGUGUUGUUCCCAACUGGUGUUCCCACCUGGCGGCAAACUGGUGACUGUAGUUACAGAUCUUCAACAUCACACUCAGGAGAAGAAGGAGAUUGCUUUUCAGGAGCUCCUGCAAGCCGGAGAAUAAAAGCUCUUAUUUAUUCAGAAGCCCUAAAACAUACCACCUUGGCUAUAGACUAUUUGGACAUUUCUAAGCAAAUCUGUCUGCAAAGGUGCUGAGCUGUGUUGAUCAACUGAAGCCCGUGACGUCUCAUCCUUGCAGUUGGAGCAAAUCUCAAAGGCAAAGCCAGUGUUAAGGAGAGGGAAAUCAGACUUCAUCUUUCGAUGGGAGAAGAAAAGAGUUUGCAACUGUCUCUAUUCUGCCACUGGCAGAGAAUCCAUAGGUUUGCUAAGGAUACAGAGCCACAUUGAAAAGAUAAACCUUGCUAUGCUGGAGAUUACUUAGGUGGGCCAGGAUUUCUUGAAACCAAAACUUUACUGAAUCACCUCUUCACCAUCUGUAUGCCGUGCAUUUGCUGAGAGAUAAAAACAUUCCUGUGAAAGAUGCCCUUCCCUGCACCGGGAGAAAAGAAGCAUUCUGCGACCAGGAGCCAUAGCGAAGAUAAUUCUGUAGAAACAGACCGUGGUAAAAUAAUGCCUAUCUUCCUGCAGCCUCCCCACGUAAUUUAGUUACUUUUCCACAGCUGCUUCUUUUUGCUCAACCUAAUAUCAAAGCAGUUAGGUAUUGCCAUUUCUUUGGGUCUUCAUUUUCUUAUUCAGGCUCCUGUGCCAUGUAAAACCUCUAUUAAAUUUGUAUGAUUUUCUCCUG